UUAAAGAUAUAAUAUAUUAUACAAUUCUAUCUUCAUCAUUCUCUCCAUCCUUGAAACGAUUCGUCCUCGAAUCGAAAACGUCCUUGAUGAUGUUCUGCAUAGGGUCGAUCAUAUUGACCGUGUAGGAAGUCAAAGAUCUCUCGAUUCUGUGCUCGUAAUUCCUUGAAUUGUUGAGACAGAAGAUCGUCGUCACGAUGGAGAUAAUCUUGAACAUUCUGAACGGUUGAUUGACGGGGAGACAUCGCGUAGGAGCGUAGCAAGGCUCUGGAUACCAACUGAUGCAGGUAGAAGCGUGAAAUAUAUUUGAUAUUGAUAAAUAUACGAACUCCGUUGAUAACCAUUGUAUACCGGAAUACGUACAAUAAGGGUUAAUCCGUUAAUUCACUCAUGAAUACCGGAAGAACACCGCGAAAAGGGAACAAUUCCACCCUCUACAUUUUAACUCUCAAUUCGACUCCCCUAAAACAUAAAUAAAACUCCUAUUUAUAAUAAAACCCUAAACAUCUAAAAGGAAACAAACUAACUUGACCAACAAGACAAAUCAAUAAUUAAAG
rnacentral:lncRNA from 1 species